GACGAACGCUGGCGGCGUGCUUAACACAUGCAAGUCGAACGAUGAAGCCGGAGCUUGCUCUGGUGAAUUAGUGGCGAACGGGUGAGUAACACGUGAGUAACCUGCCCUUGACUCUGGGAUAACUGCUAGAAAUGGUAGCUAAUACCGGAUACGACCCUCGGCGGCAUCGCCAGGGGGUGGAAAGAAUUUCGGUCAAGGAUGGACUCGCGGCCUAUCAGCUAGUUGGUGAGGUAACGGCUCACCAAGGCGACGACGGGUAGCCGGCCUGAGGGGGUGACCGGCCACACUGGGACUGAGACACGGCCCAGACUCCUACGGGAGGCAGCAGUGGGGAAUAUUGCACAAUGGGCGCAAGCCUGAUGCAGCAACGCCGCGUGAGGGAUGGCGGCCUUCGGGUUGUAAACCUCUUUUAGUAGGGAAGAAGCGAAAGUGACGGUACCUGCAGGAAAAGCACCGGCUAACUACGUGCCAGCCGCCGCCGUAA
rnacentral:rRNA from 1 species